rnacentral:rRNA from 1 species
AUUGAACGCUGGCGGCAGGCCUAACACAUGCAAGUCGAGCGAGCGGCGGACGGGUGAGUAAUGUCUGGGAAACUGCCUGAUGGAGGGGGAUAACUACUGGAAACGGUAGCUAAUACCGCAUACCAUCAGAUGUGCCCAGAUGGGAUUAGCUAGUAGGUGGGGUAAUGGCUCACUUAGGCGACGAUCCCUAGCUGGUCUGAGAGGAUGACCAGCCACACUGGAACUGAGACAGGGUCCAGACGCAUACGAGAGGCAGCAGUGGGGAAUAUUCCAAAAGGGGCGCAAGCCUGAUGCAGCCAUGCCGCGUGUGUGAAGAAGGCCUUCGGGUUGUAAAGAACUUUCAGCGAGGAGGCGUUACUCGCAGAAGAAGCACCGGCUAACUACGUGCCAGCAGCCGCGGUAAUUC